rnacentral:rRNA from 1 species
GACGAACGCUGGCGGCAUGCUUAACACAUGCAAGUCGAACGGAAAGGCCCUGCUUUUGUGGGGUGCUCGAGUGGCGAACGGGUGAGUAACACGUGAGUAACCUGCCCUUGACUUUGGGAUAACUUCAGGAAACUGGGGCUAAUACCGGAUAGGAGCUCCUGCUGCAUGGUGGGGGUUGGAAAGUUUCGGCGGUUGGGGAUGGACUCGCGGCUUAUCAGCUUGUUGGUGGGGUAGUGGCUUACCAAGGCUUUGACGGGUAGCCGGCCUGAGAGGGUGACCGGCCACAUUGGGACUGAGAGACGGCCCAGACUCCUACGGGAGGCAGCAGUGGGGAAUAUUGCACAAUGGGCGGAAGCCUGAUGCAGCAACGCCGCGUGCGGGAUGACGGCCUUCGGGGUGUAAACCGCUUUCGCCUGUGACGAAGCGUGAGUGACGGUAAUGGGUAAAGAAGCACCGGCUAACUACGUG